rnacentral:rRNA from 1 species
CACUGCCAGAGAAUACAUACCUGUAGCUCAUUUUCGUCUGAUCUCAGAAGCUAAGCGGGGCUGGGCCUGGUUGGUACUUGGAUGGGAGACUGUUGGGUGGGAAUACCAGGUCGCACAGUGG